UGGGGAAUUUUGGACAAUGGGGGCAACCCUGAUCCAGCCAUGCCGCGUGCGGGAAGAAGGCCUUCGGGUUGUAAACCGCUUUUGGUCGGGAAGAAAGGGUCAUCUUUAAUAAAGGUGACUGUUGACGGUACCGGCAGAAUAAGCACCGGCUAACUACGUGCCAGCAGCCGCGGUAAUACGUAGGGUGCGAGCGUUAAUCGGAAUUACUGGGCGUAAAGCGUGCGCAGGCGGUAAGUUAAGUCUGAUGUGAAAGCCCCGGGCUCAACCUGGGAAUGGCAUUGGAAACUGGCUUGCUAGAGUGAGGCAGAGGGGGGUGGAAUUCCGCGUGUAGCAGUGAAAUGCGUAGAGAUGCGGAGGAACACCGAUGGCGAAGGCAGCCCCCUGGGCCGACACUGACGCUCAGGCACGAAAGCGUGGGGAGCAAACAG
rnacentral:rRNA from 1 species